AUUGAACGCUGGCGGCAGGCUUAACACAUGCAAGUCGAGCGAGCGGCGGACGGGUGAGUAAUGUCUGGGAAACUGCCUGAUGGAGGGGGAUAACUACUGGCAACGGUAGCUAAUACCGCAUACCAUCAGAUGUGCCCAGAGGGGAUUAGCUAGUAGGUGGGGUAAUGGCUCACCUAGGCGACGAUCCCUAGCUGGUCUGAGAGGAUGUCCAGCCACACUUGAACUGAGGCACGGUCCUGCCUCCUAUGUGAUUCGUCAGUGGGGAAGAUUGCACAAUGGGCGCAAGCCUAAUGCAGCCAUGCCGCGUGUGUGAAGAAGGCCUUCGGGUUGUAAGGCACUUUCAGCGAGGAGGCGUUACUCGCAGAAGAAGCACCGGCUAACUCCGUGCCAGCAGCCGCGGUAAUAC
rnacentral:rRNA from 1 species